UAUUGCGCAAUGGGCGAAAGCCUGACGCAGCGACGCCGCGUGAGGGAUGAAGGUUUUCGGAUCGUAAACCUCUGUCAGAAGGGAAGAAAGUGCGUGGUGCUAAUCAGCCGCGGAUUCCCGGUACCUUCCAAGGCAGCACCGGCUCAUUCCGUGCCAGCAGCCGCGGGAAUACGGAGGGUGCGAGCGUUAAUCGGAAUUACUGGGCGUAAAGCGCACGUAGGCUGUUGUGUAAGUCAGGGGUGAAAUCCCACGGCUCAACCGUGGAACUGCCCUUGAUACUGCAUGACUGGAAUCCGGGAGAGGGUGGCGGAAUUCCAGGUGUAGGAGUGAAAUCCGUAGAUAUCUGGAGGAACAUCAGUGGCGAAGGCGGCCACCUGGACCGGUAUUGACGCUGAGGUGCGAAAGCGUGGGGAGCAAACAGG
rnacentral:rRNA from 1 species